rnacentral:rRNA from 1 species
UUGCAUAUCAAAUAAGCGGAGGAAAAGAAACCAACAGGGAUUGCCUCAGUAACGGCGAGUGAAGCGGCAAAAGCUCAAAUUUGGAAUCUCAGUCUUUCAGGCUGCGAGUUGUAAUUUGAAGACGUAUUUUGAAGUAAGCACAUGUCGAAGUUCCUUGGAACAGGACGUCACAGAGGGUGAGAAUCCCGUGCGAUGUGUUCACUGCUUCAUGUAAAAUGCAGUCGAAGAGUCGAGUUGUUUGGGAAUGCAGCUCUAAGUGGGUGGUAAAUUCCAUCUAAAGCUAAAUAUUGGCGAGAGACCGAUAGCGAACAAGUACAGUGAUGGAAAGAUGAAAAGAACUUUGAAAAGAGAGUGAAAAAGUACGUGAAAUUGUUGAAAGGGAAGGGCUUGAGAUCAGACUCGGGCAACCGGGCCAGCAUGGGGUGGGGGAGUAGGAUAACCCUGCAGGAAAGUGGCUUCGCUUCGGUGGAGUGUUAUAGCCUGUAGCUAUACUGCUACCCUCGCCCGAGGACUGCGGAAACAAGGAUGCCUGCCAUAUUACGGGGGAUU